rnacentral:pre_miRNA from 14 species
UUCUUGGCUUCCUGUACACUUUCCAUGAAACUCUCCCCCUUCCCCUAACUGAAAGACCCCCCCGGAGUGGGGAGACCCUCACUCAAGUCUCGGGAUGACUCGACUCCCCAAGAACUCACGUGAGACC